rnacentral:rRNA from 1 species
AGAGCGAACGCUGGCGGCAGGCCUAACACAUGCAAGUCGAGCGCCGUAGCAAUACGGAGCGGCAGACGGGAGAGUAACACGUGGGAACGUACCCUUCAGUUCGGAACAACCCAGGGAAACUUGGGCUAAUACCGAAUACGUCCGUAAGGAGAAAGAUUUAUCGCUGAAGGAUCGGCCCGCGUCUGAUUAGCUUGUUGGUGAGGUAAUGGCUCACCAAGGCUACGAUCAGUAGCUGGUCUGAGAGGAUGAUCAGCCUCACUGGGACUGAGACACGGCCCAGACUCCUACGGGAGGCAGCAGUGGGGAAUAUUGGACAAUGGGCGCAAGCCUGAUCCAGCCAUGCCGCGUGGGUGAUGAAGGCCCUAGGGUUGUAAAGCCCUUUCGGCGGGGAAGAUAAUGACGGUACCCGCAGAAGAAGCCCGGCUAACUUCGUGCCAGCAGCCGC